AAGACUAUACUUUCAGGGAUCAUUUCUAUAGUGAAUGACUAGGAAUUGUGAUUUGAAAGUGUGACGUCUCCCUAAUCACGAUGACGAGGUUUGAUGUGUUUUUCUGAGCGUGAAUCGGGUUUAAGUUAAUGAUCUAAACAUCAACUUAAACUAUUGAUGAACGUUCUUUAUUUCUCAUGAGAUAAAAGAGGAAAAACACAUGAUCAGAGUGAU